UUCCGUCUUCGCUCGGCUCUUGGACUCCCUUCGCUUCAUCAUGGCAGCUCCAGCGCUCAGCAUGUGAAAAGUGGCCAGGAGGAAACAGGACGCGGCCUGCACGAGUGCCGUGCAACGGACAGCGAGCGGCUCUGACUGGGACAUUUCUUCCCGAGUUGGUUGAUCAGUUUUCCCCUCCAGAGGUGGCUCCACCCAUUCUUGCAAGAUUUCUGGAGGCUAUUGAAAAAAGAGGA